rnacentral:rRNA from 1 species
CCUACGGGUGGCUGCAGUGAGGAAUAUUGCACAAUGGGGGAGACCCUGAUCCAGCGACGCCGCGUGAAUGAAGAAGUAUUUCGGUAUGUAAAGCUCUAUCAGCAGGGGAGAAAAUGACGGUACCUGAUUAAGAAGCCCCGGCUAACUAAGUUCCAGCAGCCGCGGUACUACGUAGGGAGCAAGCGUUAUCCGGAUUUACUGGGUGUAAAGGGAGCGUAGACGGCAGAACAAGUCUGGAGUGAAAUGCCGGGGCUUAACCCCGGAACUGCUUUUGAUACUGUGCAGCUAGAGUGCAGGAGAGGUAAGCGGAAUUCGUAGUGUAGCGGUGAAAUGCGUAGAUAUUAGGAGGAACCCCGAUUGCGAAGGCAGCCUACUAAACUGCCACUGACAUUGAUGCUCGAAAGUGUGGGUAUCAAACAGGAUUAGAUACCCCUGUAGUC